rnacentral:tRNA from 1 species
GCGGAUAUAGUUUAAGCUAAAACAUCAGACCGUGAACCUGAAAAUAGAGACUAAACCC